CUACGGGUGGCUGCAGUUAGGAAUAUUCUGCAAUGCGCGCAAGCGUGACAGAUUGAGCCAGAGUGCUUUUCAAUUGAAAAGCUUUUGUCAAAUGUAAAAAGUUUGGUGAAUAAGGACUGGGUAAGACAGGUGCCAGGCCGCCGCGGUAAUACCUGCGGUCCAAGUCGCAGCCAUUUUUAUUGGGUCUAAAACAUCCGUAGCUUGUUUGAUAAGUUUCUUGUGAAAUUCUAUAUCUCAAUUAUAGAGCGGGCAAGAAGUACUGUCAAGCUAGAGACUGGAAGACGUAAGAAGUACGUUUGGAGUAGCGGUAAAAUGUGUUAAUCCCAGACGGACUAACAAUAGCGAAGGCAUCUUACGAGGACAGUUCUGACAGUAAGGGAUGAAGGCUAGGGGCGCAAAACGGAUUAGAUACCCCCGUAGUC
rnacentral:rRNA from 1 species